rnacentral:rRNA from 1 species
GCUCAGAGCGAACGCUGGCGGCAUGCUUAACACAUGCAAGUCGAACGAAGGCCCGGAGCUUGCUCCGGUCACCUUAGUGGCGAACGGGUGAGUAACGCGUGGGAACCUGCCCUAUGGUGGGGAAUAACAGCUGGAAACGGCUGCUAAUACCGCAUACGCUCUACGGAGGAAAGGCUUCGGCCGCCGUUGGAGGGUCCCGCGUCCGAUUAGCUUGUUGGUGAGGUAACGGCUCACCAAGGCGACGAUCGGUAGCUGGUUUGAGAGGAUGAUCAGCCACACUGGGACUGAGACACGGCCCAGACUCCUACGGGAGGCAGCAGUGGGGAAUAUUGGACAAUGGGGGAAACCCUGAUCCAGCAAUGCCGCGUGAGUGAAGAAGGCCUUAGGGUUGUAAAACUCUUUCACCCGUGAAGAUGAUGACGGUAGCGGGAGAAGAAGCUCCGGCUAACUCCGUGCCAGCAGCCGCGGUAAUACGGAGGGGGCAAGCGUUGCUCGGAAUUACUGGGCGUAAAGCGCGCGUAGGCGGUGCACCUAGUCAGGCGUGAAAGCCCCGGGCUUAACCCGGGAACUGCGUUUGAUACUGGUGCGCUAGAAUCCGAGAGAGGGCAGUGGAAUUCCCAGUGUAGAGGUGAAAUUCGUAGAUAUUGGGAAGAACACCAGAGGCGAAGGCGGCUGCCUGGCUCGGUAUUGACGCUGAGGUGCGAAAGCGUGGGGAGCGAACAGGAUUAGAUACCCUGGUAGUCCACGCCGUAAACGAUGAGUGCUAGUUGUCGGGCAGCGUGCUGUUCGGUGACGUAGCUAACGCAUUAAGCACUCCGCCUGGGGGAGUACGAUCGCAAGAUUAAAACUC